rnacentral:misc_RNA from 1 species
GACGUUCCUGGCCGAAUAAAAAACCUCUUCCUUCUUUAAUCCGGUGUCCGAGGAGUUUUGUGUGCGACUCGUCCUGCUACAUUUCUUGGUUACAAAAACCUCUUCCUUCUUUAAUCCGGUGUCCGAGGAGUUUUGUCUGCGACUCGUCCUGCUACAUUUCUUGGUUACAAAAACCUCUUCCUUCUUUAAUCCGGUGUCUGAGGAGUUUUGUUUGCGACUCGUCCUGCUACAUUUCUUGGUUCCGUGACCGGGAAGCGAGGUGAUUGAAGGACGGUCGAGGCAGCCCCUUAGGCUGCUUAGGCCUGCCCUGUGGAGCGUCCCUGCAAGGGACUCUGGCCAGCUUGAGCGACGGGCAUCCUGAGAGCGCUCCCGGGUAGGCAAUUGCCCUGGUGGAACACCUCGUCAGAGCAGUGUGUGGCAGGCCCCCGCGGAGGAUCAACGUGGUGGCUGAACACCGGGAAGGAACUGGCACUAGAAGUCUGGACGUCUGAAACUUGAAGAACGACCACACUUUUACGUUAAGGUUAAGACUCUCUGAGUUUCUGAAGCCUUGCAGAAGUAAUCUUUGCCUAGCUUUGGGAAGAUCUGACCCACUACAGAUUAUGUUAGAAGUGCCAGAGGAGGAAGACUUCCUGUACCCGUCUGUUAUGGAGCUAAAUCACAUCAGUCACACUGUGACAUGUGAUGAAAAACAUGGGCGCCAUAGUAAGUCAGCCAGAACCCAGAGCAAUGAGUAUGUCUGGAAGGAGGAGACUGCACCAAAGCUAACAUGUGGGCUGUGCGUUGAAGGAUGAGGA